ensembl:lncRNA
CAUCGAUAUAACAAAUCACUGAAUAUAAAGAAAAAUGAACUUGUCUUCUUGGUGUGAUCUUCAGGAAAUUCAGAUGAUGCAACUUCCUGUUGAACAUUACUAGGUAACAGGUUUGAAUGAAUGCUUUGGGACUAAAAUGUCCCCUUUUCAUAACCUACGUUCCGUAACAUUGGACCUGUGUUGGACGACACAUGGAAGACGAUCUUUCAAGCACGAGAUGUUAAACUUAUUCGCACGUUAAUCUUUGAAUUUUGAUUUAUUUCGUGUUUUUUUUUUUUAAACAUGAUUGCAUGCUUAUAUUUCAAGGUAAAGUGUAGUUAUAGUGCUGUAGGUUUUGAUGGAAGCGAUCUGCACAUAUAACAUAUGUUGUUGUGAAGGACUUUACCUGUGUUUAAAAUGCCUUUACUGUCCUUUACUUUACUUUACAUAUUUGUAAACAUAUUUGUAAGUAGGCAGGACUCCUUCACACGGACCUAUAAACGUGCACGUUUUGCUUAUUAAGUCUUACCUUGCAUCGUUUUUGGCCAAACUGCAUUGCUUACACUACUUAUCAGCUUAUUGUGUUCUCCCAGAGGGCGGCAGAUGGAGGAAGAUUGAUGGGGAAGUCCCUAAGCACCACAGCCGCUCACUAUCAUACUGUAUAAUAGCUUAUGGAGCAAAAAAUAGCCUCAGCGCCUCAAAUCCUUGUGCCUUAUUUGUAGUCGAUGUGAUACGAAACAGGAUUAUGUAACGCACGGGGGAACCAUGCAACGCUCCUUGCACAGAAACGAUGUGGACAGGAACUUAUACAGACGGUGAUUUUGAAAAACUAACAAUAACGACUGAUAGAUCUGAUGAUUUGAACUCUGAUCCACUCAAUAUGAGAAUCUCAAUCAUGACCAAAAUGAUGCACGGACUCUAGAAGAGGUUUUAGCAGACGUGAGGUUGCAAAUCUAAUUUACAGCGUACACGGAUGUUUAAAAGCAAUAACAGAUCAAGCAUACAGUAUAAGGUUAACCUGCUUAAUAUCUUCCUGCAGGAUUUUCUGAUUCAACAGUAACCGAACAAACAGUAUGGUUCAGUGCACGGAGGUGACGGAUACCGGUUCGUUUACUUUAGUGACUCAUUGAAAAAGACUGAAUUGUUUGCGAACGAAACAUGUCUAGACCUAAUAAUCUUAAAAAUGUAUUUUCAAAGAUCUAGAGUAAUAUACACGGAUCAGCCAGAACAUUAAAACUAACCUGGCUAAUGUCGUGUAGGUCCACCAAAACAGCUCGGACCCGUCGAGGCAUGAGCUCCACAACCUCUCAAGGUGUGCUGUGGUAUCUGGUUCGUCCGGCACAUCCUACAGACGCUCGGUCCGAUUGAGACCUGGGGAAUUUGGAGGCCGAGUCAACACCUUGAACUCUUUGUUAUGUUCCUCAACAAUUUUUGCAAGUGUUGCACGGUGCAUUAUCCUGCUGAAAGAGGCCAGUGCCAUUAGGGAAUGCCGUUGCUAUGAAGGGGUGUACUUGGUCUGAAACAGUGUUCAGGUAGGUGGUACAGUACCUGUCAAAGUAACAGCCACAUGAAUGCCAGGACCCAAGAUUUCCCAGCAGCUCAUUGCACAGAUUAUCACACCACCUCCACCGGCUUGCCUUCGUCUCCCAUAGCGCUUCCUGGUGCCAUCUCUUCCCCAGGUAAGCAGCGAACACACACACACACCCCACACACACACACACCCAGCCGUCCACACGAUAUAAAAGUGAUUCAUCAGACCAGGCCACCGUCUUCCAUUGGUCCAUGGCUUCCAUGGUCCGGUUCUGAUGCGCAUGCGCUAAUUAUAGGUGCUUUCGGCGGUGGACAGGGGUCAGCAUGGGCGCUCUGAUCAAUCUACAGCUACGCAGCUCCAUACGGAGCAAGCUUUGAUGCACUGUGUGUUCUGACUCUCAUUCGCAGUAUUCACUUUUUCACAGUCUGUGCUACAGUAGCUCUUCUGUGGGAUCGGACUAGACGUGCUAGCCUUCGCUCCCCACGCGCAUCAAUGAACCUUGGGCGCCAGUGACCCUGUCGUUGGUUCAACGGUCGUCCUUCAUUGGACCACUUUUGGUAGGUACUAACCACUGCAUACCAGGAACACUUCACAAGACCUGCCACUUUGGAAAUGCUCUGACUCAGUCGUCUAUCCAUCACAAUUUCUCCCUCGUCAAAGUCGCUCAGAUUCUGACCUUCGCCCAUUUUUCCUGCUUCCAACACGUCGACGUUGAGAACUGACCAUUCACAUGCUGCCUAAUACUGUAUAUCCCACUCCUUAACAGGUGCCAGAUAAUAAUAAACGAGAUCAUCAAAAAAGUUAUUCACUUUGCCUGUCAGUGGUUUUAAUGUUAAGGUGGACUGGUGUCGAUGCAUGAGUGUCUCAUCCUUAUCAACUGAAUCAUACAGAUCACGGUGUGAUUUUAGCAUAUUUCCUAAUCCUGAAAUCAAUCCCAGGCUACACCACUGAUGUACAGUACACUACAGCUGAAGUAUGACAUGUAAAUUGAUCUAAAACUUUAAGUGUCAAGAUGAGAGGCAGCAAAAUAGACAAAAUGGAUGUUUUGCUAUAAUCUCUUGUCCAAGAAACAACGUGACGUAUAGUAAACGGGUCUGGGAAUGUAUGAAGGAUGUCCUAAUUGUGUUUUAUGUAUCAAAAAUGAGCCAUUCGUAGAUAACGGAGUCCUGUACAAUAGCUCGCACAUGACAGCAACCUUUCCUCUGCGUAAAGCAUGUUUAUAUCAAAAAAUUUGGCUUGUUGACAUGAAGGUAAUUGAUUCAAAUGGGGUUCCUACAAGUUCAGAAAUUGCAUUGUUUUUAAAAGGCCUUAGCUCUGACAGAAAUACGCCGGAAAGUAUUGCAUUUGGCGGUAAGCACAGUUUCCCAUAGACCAAUCUGUUGAACUCAGCUCCGAGCCUCUUGGACGCGAGCUGACUGUUGAGCUAGUGGGAGAGGAGAGAUAGCGGUGACCUUGCUCUGAACCCCUGCGCAAACUUGGAUUACGUCUGGAGCAGUUGGAGAAAAAAAAAAAAAAAACUUAAAUGAACUUAGUGAUUUAGUGAGGCGGCUUGCAGACGGGUUUUUUUUUUUUUUUUAAAUAAUGAUGGUAGGAUGGGGGAAAAUGAAACUAGGAAGCUAAUGGGUUAGAUUCUGCACAAAGUAUCCAAACGCACCUAGAGCAGUGACCUGUUUUGACCAACAAAAAAAAAAUCUUCAACUGUCCAGUAUCAUGGUUUCUUAGCAAUUUGUCUGAGUUGUCUUUGGAGAAUGCAGAAUAUUACCGACAGCCCAUCUUUUCAGGCACACUGAUAUAAACAUAAGUAACAUGACACAAAGUAACAUGUAUUUGCUGCUUGCAUGGGAUUUCUAAACAAGCUUGUGAAUGAGAAUAGAAUCUUUUCAUUGACUCGAAUCAUUUCAGUCUGUUCAGUUAAAUGGCUCGAUCAGAUUUGUGCAUCAAGGCAUCAGAUUGCGUCUCAUGGAUAUAACACUCAUGGACAUAAAAAUGGUAAAUGGUAAACUUAUAUCCAAAACACUUCACACUGUGUCUCAUUCACACACACACCAAUGGUAGCAGAGGCGCUAACUUGCCAUCGGGAGCAACUUGGGGUUCAGUGUCUUGCCCAAGGACACUUCGGGAUGUGGAGUCAUGUGGGCUGGGAAUCGAACCGCCAACCCUACGAUUAGUGGACAACCCGCUCUACUAACCGAGUCACAGCUGCCAAACAAUAGAGAACACCGUCGAUGAACCACCAAUGUGACCAAGCCAGUGCUUGAUUAUCGUAAACGACGCUUGCUCAAACCGAUUAAUUCCAAAAAGGACGUCUAGACAACUAGUGCAGUUGUGGAAAUGAUCACGAAAUUGUAACAGCGCCACCUAUACUGUCGGAGCACAUAUACGACGGCUAAUACGAAAUAGCAUUGAGACUUUCGCAGAACUUUCGGAUGAACGAAGAUAAGCCCUGCUGAAUCUUGGUCAUGACCAUACGUGCAACUGCAAAUAUGGUUUACGUGGUUUAUCGACGUAACCAGCUAUAAGGACACCUCUGUAUACCUCUGUAGUUUUGGAAGGUUUAUAGGGUUUUAUGUCAACCUCCAGUUGGUUAGUGGAGAGAAACGCUGCGACUCGUUUGCAUUAGCUAAAAAAAUUAGACACUUCAGAUGUUUUCGUGGACAAUUUAUUACGAAUUAUUAUUAAUUGUACAUAAUAUCUUUUUUCUACAAUAGAAUAUUCGUUUUGCAUGUGGGGUUUUUGUUUUUGUUUGUUUCAGUAGGAAAAACACUCCCUUUUUAUGUAAAUAAGCUUUAAUAUACCAAAAUAAAUAAAGAGAAUAAAUCUUAGUUCUAACAUUUACAAUAAUCCGAUAAAAUAGAAAUGCGCUAAUGGUAAUAUAUCGACUAUAUCGUUAUUUAAUAUAGAAUCAGUUUACUGUGAUAAUUUUGCAAAAUAUGCAAUUCUCUGUAAAAAAAUAAUAAUAAUAAUAAUAAAAUAAUAAUAAUAAAUAAUCAUGAUAUGUCUUACAGAUGUUUUUUUUUUUUUUUAGUUUUUUUUAGGGGGAGGGGUGAUAAAAGCCUGAACUGGAACAUUCUUGUGAAAGACUUCUUCUUCAACGUGCUCCUUUAAUAUUUAGAAACAAUAUGAAAGCAAACUUGGGAGAAAGCUAGAAGAUAUUUUGACACAUUCAGCCUUGUGAUUUAUUAAUCAUGACACAUUUUUGCAGCGGGGACCUCAACAAAUUUUUCAUCCUGGUUACAGGCAAGGACUUCCACACCUCACAGAUGUUUAAAAACCACAUGAAGGGUCACAGGGAACCUGGAGUCUAUCCCAGGAAGCAUGGGGCACAAUCACAUACUACAGACACUUUAGACACACCAAUCAGCCUACCGUGCAUGUCUUUGGACUGGAGGAAACAGGAGUAAACGGAGAAAACCCCCACAGCACGGGGAGAACAUGCAAACUCCACACACACAGGGCCACAAUGGGAAUCAAUCCCCACACCCUGGAGGUGUGAGGCGACCGGCGAACGUGCUAACCACUAAGCCACCGUGCGCCUGAAAGAUCAUUCAGUUUACAAUAAUUACCAUUACCUAGAAUUUGAAUUGCAGCAAAAUGUUAGCUACUGGAAUCGACGCUAAUCUAACCAGGCAUUAGCAAAACAAACAAACAAAUACAACAAACGGAUUUACUUAGUGAAAUAUAACCAGUUAAUGUUAGCAAAUUAGCAAACAUUUACCUCGAUGGAUUAGAUUAGUCCAUUAAAUGGACCUAAUGCUUUCUGGAGAGGUAAAGGACACAAGUCUUUUGUACAAGUCUUUAUUUACUUCAGCAUAUUGAAACAAUUUACUGAGGUAGGUCUUGGGGUGCUCAUCCUCAAGUUCAAAACUGUGGAUUAUCCAUAUUCACACACGGAUAGAUGUACUAACGUACUAACUAACUAACUAAAUGUACUAACUACAUUAGUACAGGUACAUUCACUUUCAAUAACAAUAAAUUCGCCAAACUAUUGUAAUUCCUAAGUAUAGUAGCAAAGUACAAUUACUCAAGUUUCGUUCAUCCCUGGGUUCAAUCAAUUUCAAUUCUUAGUCAAAGGACCAAACAGGCUGGAAAACUGAAAGGGUGGAAAAAUUCUGGCAAGCUAACUUUCCUACAGCACACUGAUAAUGAGUUAAACCAUUUCGAGAAACUGACUGACUUGUUCCCGUUCUCAUUUAUUAUCCUCACCUGAACACUGAAAGAACUUCUGUUUUUGUUAGUAGAACUUAUCAGUGCUGAGGGGAGUUCGCUUCCUCCUUUGCAUUUGAACUUUUCCUCAGGGUUAGCACACACAAAACACACAGAAACCCACUACAGUCAAAGUCUUCAGAAAAAGGAAAACAGAGGUCUUAGUAACGUGGAUGUCACGUACUCCGUAUCAUUUCUUAAGCCCGCGAUGGAGCCAGUUGUCAGUUGUGACGAAUGCUAGGUCUUCCGCUUUCACAGAGUGAGGACAUGGACUUUUGCCCUUCCUUCUUUUCCUAAUGUACACCACAAUCCCGUUCUGCUCUGCUACUCUGCUCCUUCUCCAAACUUUCAUAUGUUAUACCUGUCUUAGUUUUACAAAUAACAACCUCACUAUCUCUAUAGACGACACUUUUACAGAAAAAUCACGAUGAUAUUUUUUUCACAUAUGAUUUUUGAGUCGUAGUCAUAGGGAUCACGUGGAGAAAAACAACGUGAACUCAAGUAACAUCAUUUAAAUAACACACUUAAAAAAGAAUCAUGGAUGUGAAAAAUGAAACCACAUGCCUCACGUUGAAAAUGAAUACAAAAAUAAAUUAAUACGGUGUCAAAACUAUUCAAUUUAAUGAGUCAUGUAAAAAAAAAAAAAAAACAUGAAAUGUAUUGUCAUGUAAGAACAUCAUGUGAAAAUUAAUUGUAAAUCUAAAUGACAGUCGAAAUGAAUUAGUUGUAUAAAAAAUAAAUGAGUAAUGUAAAUAUCAGGUGCGAAAAGAAAUGAAUUGUGUAAAAGUCAUAUAUGAAAAUAAGCUAUUGUGUAAAAAUCAUGAAAAUAAUCGUGUAAAAAAUAAAUUAACUGUGAAAAAUAAUGUAAAAAUUAGUCUUGUAAAGUUAACUUGAAUUGUGAAAAAAAUCACGUGAAAAUGAAGGAAUUGUGAAAAAAAUUACAUGUGAAAAUGAACCAUGUAAAAGUCACCUGAAAAUAAAUGAAUCAUGUAAAAAUCAUGUGAACAAAUGAAUCUUAUAAAAAUUUAUGGAAAAUGAAUUCAUUGUGUAAAAAUCCUGUAAAAAUAUAUUAAAUGCGAAAAAUCACAUGUAAAAAAAAAAAAAGAUCUUGUAAAAAAUAACAUUUGAAAUUAAAAGACGUGUAAAAACAACAUGCAAAAAUUAAAGAAAUUGUGGAAAACAAUUUUCACGUGAAAAUGAAAGAAUUAAAGUAAAAAAAAAUCACAUAUGAAAAUAAAAGAAUUGUGUAAGAAUCACGUGAAAGCAAACGAAGUAUAAAAAACAACACAUCCGAACAUUAAUCAAAUUUAUAUUUUAAAACUCGUGUGAAAAUUAAAGAAUUGCGUAAGAAUCAUUUGAAACUUAAUUCAUUGUAAAAAAACAAACAAACAAAAACAUCUGAAAAUGAAUUAACUGUGUAAAAUCUUACACGUGAAAAUUAAUUAUAAAAAAUCAAGUACAAAAUUUAAAAAUUGUGUAAAAAUCACGUAAAAAUUAACGAAUUGUAACAAAAAAACAUCUGAAAAUGAACGAACUGUGUAAAAAUCUUACAUGUGAAAAUGAACCGUGUAAAAAUCACGUAAAAAUGAAUGAAUUGUGAAAAAAAUCAAAACAAAUGCAUGUGAAAAAUGUGUGAAACAAUAAGUAAAGUGUAAUAAAAAGGGUCAGUUUCACUUUUGAAAUGUUUCUGUAAACGGUAUAUAUAUUUCCUGACAGAACUUGUUGCGUGUUGCCGUCUCUCACCUGGGCUAAGUUGUGUAAUAGAUGACUGAAUAUCAGCGCUCUUAGAAACGUGGAUGAAACUGAACUCGAAGCACAGACGGCGAUGUCUCUGCACUUUCUCAUUUGCGUAGUAGCACUGAUUCUAACUGAUGGCUUGAUUUGCAAGACUCAUCUGAAGUGACCCACUUUGCUUAGAUGCAUCUGUGAAACUCCCACAUAUUACUGUCAGGUCACAUCUGUUUCACAUUUAGCUCAUUGAGUGCUAAUCGCUAAUGUUACCCUAGAACCUCAAUGUUCCCCGAGAGCUCUGUAGUAAGUGUGUACUUUUUGCAGUUGGGCAAUAAUUACUUUUAUGAAAUGAAUAUUUAAUGAAUAAUACUGCGUAGUAAUGUUCAUAUCCACAUGUUAAUAGAAUGUAAGUAAUCAAAGGCAUGAAAUAUUUACUGUCGUUACAACGAUACAGAAAAGGCAAUGUAAUGUGAAGGGGUGUAGGGCCGUAAGUUUGGUCGUUAUCUCGGGACAUGUUGGGUAUUGAUUUAAACUUGACUAGGAUUAUUGGGAUUUUUACUCCCAGGUCUUGGUUUCAAUUGAGAGUUUGUCAAAGUAAUAUUCGUGUUGAUCUUUCUUGUCACAUGCAUGAAGAUUGACACUAAGUCAUUCCAUCCAUCCAUCCAUCUUCUAUACCGCUUUCUAUACCGCUACACCCUGGACAGGGUGCCAAUACUAAGUCAUUCCUUCUUCUAGAAAACAGCCGAAUCGCUGGUGAAAUGGGCAAAUGUUAAUGUAAAAGCUUGGCCUGGAUAAGAAUUUGAUAGUUUUCCAUCUCAAUCUUGACAUGCUUUCAUUUGGACUGGAUCUUGACCCCCUUAAGACUCAGCCAUUCCUGGUCUUGGACUUGAUGAUGGUGGUCUAAUGAGGUGGAUGUGUCUAGGAGCAAUAAUGAACGAAACUGAUUCAUAAAAAAUAAAAAUAGCUAACUAAAAGUUUUGCAUACUAUGAUAUACUGUAGUCAUUAACUGUGUAAUAUAACGUCAUUUCUUAUGUAUCUACUUAGCCAACUUUCUGAGAAAACCCAUCAGAUGUUCCAGAGGCUGAAAUCUGGCAAACAGCCAGGAUUUUUUUUUAAAAAACUGGUUUUAGCCACAAUUUUGUUUUUCUGCCUAUAACAUAAUUUGACAGUGUAACGUUAAGAAACCGUAUAUUUGUGGCAAAAUGUCGUCGAUGCUCGGCAAAAUGAAAUCUCGAAAUGUCGUUUUUUUUUCGCCUUUGAAGGUAACCAGACAUUAAUAUGCUAGAACUUUGCUUGUGUCCAUCUUUUUACAUAACUCCUCUUUGACAACACUGCAAAAGAAUGAAAUGUAUUCAGGGCAAAAGGUCAGCCUUGGACUAUGAACUAAGUAGAUAAAAACAAGUGGUCAUCAGUCAUGGGCUAUAGGAAGAAAUCCAAAUGGUGUACUGUGUGGUGAGCAGGUUUUUAUUGUGAGUAAUACAUGAUUCAUCAUCCUAGUCCAUAGCAUAGGUCAAUACACAAGCAGGCAGCAACAAAUGAGGAUAUUCCUUAUAUUAUAUAAACAGAAGAAUGAUUGAGAAUCAAAACCAGUAAAUACAAAAUAGAGAAAUGAAGCACUCUGGAAACCGUGGUAUAGAUGUUUAAAAAAAAAAAAAAAAAAAGGAACUUAUAUCACAAUAAGGUUUUGCGCUGAGGCAAAUAAAACUCUGGGUGUAAAUAAGCAAGACACGGAACAGGUGCGCACAUUUGGGGAACAAACCAAUGACUGGACAAGGGGUGUAAACAAAGGCAAAUUAUACUACAAACAAAAGCCCAAUUAUCUCACACUUGGAAUGACUGCCAUGAUGAGUCCAUGUUCUUAGAAAAUCUUAUCUCCAUUUCUAUCCAUUUCCAUUCCAAUCGAACAAUCUACUCAAGAGCCUCCAUGCCCAAACCCCUUCCAGCUUCAUCCAGAGAUCCAGAGAUGGAAAUUUUUUUUAGGGAUGACUCAGCUAACUUGACAAGAAAGACAAACGUGCUUAAACUGAGGAGGUUCUGGCCACUGCUGUUGAGUGGUUUGCAGAGUUCAACAAGGCUCAUGGGAGCAUUCAAUUAGUCUAUGCACGUAGAUGAAAUGUCACAUUUCCAGCAUAUUCCUAUCAUUUAGAUAUCUAUCAUCAACACGUUUCAGCCCUGAUUUGACUCCAGUGUGGUGGGAAGUUUUGUUCCAACUCCUCUGUCAGUCAGAAUAGACUACCUGGGUUCAGGGAGCAUCCAAGAGAACACCCUGACAAUAAAUCUUUACAUAGGACACCGGAAUAUAAAGAACGUAUCACUCCUAGUGACUGCCUCGCUAAAAGCACCUCAUUUGACUUGGACGCCUGGGAGAAAGAUAAGCCUGAAGCUCUUUAUUCCUCGUUAACCUAUAAAUUCCCAUCGCUCACCUUCUCCAUUAGUGGCGACGUUUCAGCACCCAAUACCUCCACGUUUCCUCCGCACAAUUCAACAAGUCCUACCCAAGAGGCUUUAAUUUAGUAGGGUCCAAGUUCUCUGAGUUCUCCCAACAUUUUACAUUUAGACAAUCACUCUCCAUGCCGUUUCGUUAAGGACGUGGUCUGUACCUUCAAAUAACCUUUAGACAUCAAUGGUUGUGUCAACGUGAUAUCCCUUGAUCCAAUCGCUCUGGCUUCAGUGUACUUCCAUCACUUUGCAAGACCCCAAUUCCAACUAAAUGUUUUUCAUUCCUGGCGACAAAGACAAUCAAUCAUUUCUGCUUCUAGAAAUGACUGAAAUUUGUAUACAUUUCAUAUUUUUCACGACUGAUCUUUUGACCUGGACUGGCGACAUGAUGAGUCAAGCCUGAAAAUAUACUUGGACUCGGUAACAAACCAACCAUAUGUUCCUCAAGAAACUUGAGGACAAUCUUGGCAAGCCCUCCUAUAAGAGUUUGGGAGGUGCUCUGUCCUAGUGCUAGCAGAUUAGCUCAAGAGGUUGCAGCUACAUUGCUAGAUUUGCUAAACGAGUCCUUGUCCUGAUGAAAGGUAGAAUAAGUUAAGGGUUUGCUUGCAGUGAACGAGCAAAUAUUCACUGACUUUAAUGCUCAUGUCAUUGUUUCAGAAUCUGAUGCAAAUAAUGAUAAUGAUAAGGAGUCUUUAUUGGUCACAUAUACAUUACAGUACAGUGAAAUUCUUUUCUUCGCAUACCCCAGCAUGUUAGGAAGUUGGGGUCAGAGCACAGGGUCAGCCAUGAUACAGUUCCCCUGGAGCACAGAGUGUUAAUGCACUGUGAUUCAACACCAUCACAAUGUAGUCUUUAUGGAUUAUAAAUUAAAUUAGUACUUGUUGGCAAGUUGGUAACCUAGACAUCCUUGAUAUUUGGGUAGGAACUCCUGCAGGUAUUUGAACUGUUUUAAGUUCUUAGUUUUCUUUAGGAUUGGAAAUCAUCUUGGCCAAUAAAACUCGUGUCAAACAAGUACACAAGAAUGCUUAUUGAGAAAUUCCCAAGGUGACACGACUACAUCUCUGGUAUAUGGUUAUACGGCAUAAUCCUGUUAAUCUUUACAUCUCAAAAUGGUUCAAUUCAUACCUUAUAAAUGGAUUCCAUGGUCUUUGUUAAAUGGAGAAGCAGUGACAGCAUGUGUAGUAACUUGCUAUUCUAACAGCUACUGUAUGUAUUACCAAAUAGGAAUAUGUGAAGUAUGUUUAUUUUAUAAACAGUUUGGUGGAAAUGGAGCUAAAUCUUUCUAGGAAACCACAAAUGGCUGUGAUCUUAUCACAUCCUCUGGCAGUUUAGAGAAGACUGAACUGAGAUCAGGUAGAGAACCCUCCCGGGGAGCAGUUAUAGAGCCUGAGGCUUCCAGCUUUAGCACAGUCGGUCCAGAGGUCGUUGUACUGUUUACCCUGGCUGAUACAUGGACUUUCAACCUGAGAUGGGAGCGUAAAGUUUUGACCUUCUUACUCACUGAGUAAAUCUUGAGUUCCAAGUGCAGGAAAGCCAGGAAAGCUGAAAUAAGCCAAACUAUUCUCCUGUAUAAGCAGCUCUGAGGCUGUUUUUAUUUUUUUUUAUUUUUUACAUUUGCACAAUUUGGUCCGUUGGAGCUCUGGUGUGUGGUACAGUUCGUUUGGGUAGCUGGGAACGUUUUGGUACACGUGAUCAAUAAAGACUCAUUAUAUUUUGGGAAUUAGAACCAACAAAAUUUGUUAUUUGUUUGUUCAUUAAAAAUUCCAUUCAAGACAAAGAAAGGCUCUUGAUAGCUGCUAUAAUGAGUGAUCAGGAACUAACUUGUUUUGUUUGUUUUUUUCACCCCACUACAUUAAAUGUAUCAAUAAUAUAUAAAUAUAGACAGUGUGCGAAUUAUACAUUGACUUUCAGCGGGUUCAGCUUUCUUCAGUUAACUAGUUCGUGUAAUGCAUAUGUGCGCUUCAGUGAACCCCAAUGACGUGUGCUGUUAAUCGAUCAAUGUUCUAUAACACGUAAAACAGGAACAUGAAAGGAAUAUUCUAGAAGUGACUCAUGUAAACACCUUAAUCAGUACAUUGUCUUAUUCAGGAUAAGGUCAAUAAUUAGAUUACUGCUGUCCAUGUAAACAUAGUCACUGAUUAUUUUCCUAUAGCAGCAUAGCCCGAGUGUUUUACUCCUUACAUCUAUACUACAUCCAUGUAAUAUCCAGCUGCAGUAAAUGUAUUUGUUUAAUCAUUUAUUGAUUUAAAUGUACUUAUAAUAGACUGAAAUGGAAAGAAACUGGAUUAAAACCUUUCAACUAUAAGGACGAACCCGUGUUUGUAUGCGGCACUGGGUUCUCCCAGGAUACAGGCGCUGUCUUGUGCCAACCAUAAAUUUCCAGCAAAAUAAAUAUUUGUUCUUUCAUUUUGCCAGCCUUAAAUAUUCAAAGCAUGGUUUGUAAUUUGUCUCGGUCCAAGCCGGCAGAUACGCAACCUGGCAAGCAUGUUUCCAUAAAUAUGUGUUGCUUUAAACACAAAGAAAUUCCUGCUCUGAAAACUCACGUCCUCAG